CUGUGUCCUCUCCACAGUCACUGAGCACAUAGAUCCUCACCAUGGGAUGGAGCUGGAUCAUCAUCUUCCUCCUGUCAGUAAUUACAGGUGUCCACUGCCAGGUCCAGCUGCAGCAGUCUGGUCCUGAGCUGAGGAAACCUGGGGCCUCAGUGAAGUUGUCCUGCAAGGCUUCGGGCUACACCUUCACUAGCUACUUUAUGCACUGGGUGAAGCAGAGGCCUGGACAGGGCCUGGAUUGGAUUGGAGUCAUUGAUCCUGGAAGUGGUAGUACUAGGCAUAAUCAGAAGCUCCAGGUCAAGUCCACACUGUCUGUGGACAAAUCCUCCAGCACAGCCUACAUGGAGCUCAGCAGCCUGACAUCUGAGGACUCUGUGGUCUAUUUCUGUGCAAGACACAGUGUUGCAACCCACAUCCUGAGUGUGUCAAAAACUCUGGUUUGCAGGAAGCUGCCCUGGGACUGA